ACCGGGAGGGGCUUUGGUGCCAAGCUGCCCCUCUGCGGCCCCGCGAGCGCCCCCCCCGCCCCCGAAAGCUCAGACAACCGCUCUGCACCCCCGGGGCUUUCACACUCUCCGGUAAGGACAGGUGACGCCAGGACGGGUUCACGCUCCUCAGGUCACUCCGCAGGCAACCGAUGAACGGCUCUGGGGGACUCAAGGCCCGGAGCCGGGGGCGGAUUUUAUUUAUUUAUUCAUGAGAGAGAGAGAGAGAGGCAGAGGGAGAAGCAGACUUCCCGCAGAGUGGGGAGCCCGAUGCGGGACUCGAUCCCAGGACUCCGGGACCAUGACCUGAGCCUAAGGCAGACGCUUAACCAUCUGAGCCACCCAGGCGCCCGAUGCUACACCUGCUGAAGAAAACGAUGAACCCUGGGUAAGGCCUGGCUCCCCUGUGCUCUCUAACUCCUGGUAACAUGGAUCAAGCUUCCACGUGGUUCUGCCGGAACCCCUGAUACUCAGGCCGCUCUUGGAAAGGAUCUCAAGCCCUACGGAGUCGGAAUUUGAGCUCCGCGCCACCAGGGGGCGCGGCAGGAUCGCUUGCACGGGAUCCGCCCCGCGAGUUGCCGCUCUAGGCCGCAGAGCGCGCUCAGCUGCAUUUCCGCGGGCGCUGGGCGGGUCAGGCGUUUCCUGCUGCCGUCGCUGCUGCCGCCGCCCCGUUUUCCGGCAGCGUCGCACGCCGCCCGGGUCCGUCUCCCGCAACCCCCAGACAUCCGCAUCUUCCCGCGCUGUCGGCUCUGUCAGCGCCGCUGUCCUGCGUCGUAGUCGCGGUGCCCGGGGAGUGUCUUGUGACUGCUGUUCCAUGGAUGUGAGACGCGACCUCAGGGAGAACCUGAUCAGGAGGUCCCAGGUGGGUCUGCAUGUGCAGAGGCUCCAUGGGAGGUGUCAUCUUACCAGCCCGCGGUAGGCCGUGGGGCCCGAGGUCAGCCUUAGAUCUGGAGCUGUUGAAGUAAGUCCCAAGGCCAUGAGUUCAGGGACCCUCGGGAUGACUUGGCAUCUGGGUUUGCUGAUAUGUCUCCCCAAGAUUCUCUUGGUGUUAGGGGACAGCAGAAGAACAGAGGAUGGCGAGGGAGUCCCUGCAGAACGCAUCCCCAGAGCACUCCUGCUGUGACUCAGAGCAUCAUGGAUCAACUCUUCACUCCACAUAGGAGAUCAGAGGGAAAGUGCUGGGGCCGGGGCUGGGUGGGGUCCACGUCAGCUGGCUGAGGCUUGACAACAGUGCCCUGAGAAGCCAUGGACAGAGAAGGCCAGCCCCAUGUUCCUCUGCUAUGCCUGAAAUGACCUUAAUGACCAAGACUUUUUCUCUUGUAUUGCAGCUGCUCAUCACUUUACUCUCUGCCCACCAUUCAAUAAACCUUACAGACUCGC